ACAUACCUGCCCUGUUCGUUACGCGGUAUUCAUUUAAACCCACAAUACAAAAAAGGGAAUGCGGGUCUAUCGGUAUUGGUGCAAGCCGUCUCCUAACGGAAUUUAUGACGGACGCCGAAAUGCCGUGGCAGCACAACCAUCCUGCUGUUUAAGCGGGUUACAAAUAUAUCGCGGACGGCAAUGGCGGGUUAUUU
rnacentral:other from 1 species